AUUGAACGCUGGCGGCAGGCCUAACACAUGCAAGUCGAACGGUAACAGGAAGAAGCUUGCUUCUUUGCUGACGAGUGGCGGACGGGUGAGUAAUGUCUGGGAAACUGCCUGAGGGAGGGGGAUAACUACUGGAAACGGUAGCUAAUACCGCAUAACGGCGCAAGACCAAAGAGGGUGACCUUCGGGCCUCUUGCCAUCGGAUGGGCCCAGAUGGGAUUAGCUAGUAGGUGGGGUAACGGCUCACCUAGGCGACGAUCCCUAACUGGUCUGAGAGGAUGACCAGUCACACUGGAACUGAGACACGGUCCAGACUCCUACGGGAGGCAGCAGUGGGGAAUAUUGGACAAUGGGCGCAAGCCUGAUGCAGCCAUGCCGCGUGUAUGAAGAAGGCCUUCGGGUUGUAAAGUACUUUAAGCGGGGAGGAAGGGAGUAAAGUUAAUACCUUGGCUUAUUGACGUUACCCACAGAAGAAGCACCGGCUAACUCCGUG
rnacentral:rRNA from 1 species